AUUUUUUUUACCCACAAACCAGAGUAGUUUCAUUGUGAACAUUUAUUGUAAAUAGUUUUACUGCUUCUUUCUCUGAAUCUUGCUUCUAAAUAAUUUAAAUAUUAUGUGAAAUUGACUAAUACAUGAUGUGAUAAGGACUUCAUCAUGCUAUAUGCUAUUUAUACUUUGCUUUCUAAUAUUUAAUCUUGAGCUUUAUUGGUAAUGUUGAGUUAUACAAUGUAUGCAAAGUCAGACUUGACAAUCAGUCACUUCCUUUUUUUUUUAAAUUUAAAAAUGUAUUCAAUCAAAGCAGGAAUUUCUUACUCAAUGUCUGUCAAUGUCAGUAGUCAGGAAUAAUAUGAUAUUUUGUAUCAAACCAUAUACUGAUGAGUUGUACCGACAAUUUAUACAACUUUUAGAUCUGUGUACUUGCUUCCUAUUUGAUGAUAAUUUAAAUUUUACUUUACACAUUAAACAUUGAACUUUUGUUGACAAUGUUGUAACAAGUGGGGAUUUUAUAUUUUACAUGUAACUUUUUGUUUUCAUAUGAUGCAACAAAGAAGUAAGUUCAGUAAGGGCCAUAUUUGGCCAUGAUUAUAAAGUUUAAUGUAACAAGAUGAUAAAUGUUUUAAGUUGACUUUAGGACAUGUGAGAAAGUAAAAUAGAACUAUUUUUGUCAAAGUUUUAUUUUAAAGUGUCCUUUUUUAUAUCCAAAUUACGUCAAACAAGAGAUUUGGCAUAAUUUUACAAAAUCGGCCGAAUUUCAACCAAAUUUAGGACUGGGAAACAUUGAGCACAGGCGUCGACAAACUAGAUAUUCGUAGACGUGUAAAAUGUAUUUCAAAAUUUAUUUUAAAAGAUUUUUGUUGUAUGUGCUCAAUUUUUCUUGUCCAAUAAUUGAUGGAAAUUUACCCAUUUUCAUUGACUUUUUCAGAGGAAAUCAAAAUAAGUACUAUUUGUGACGUCAUAAAUAAAAAGCAGGGAAAUAAAUUUUCAACAAAAGGGCUUAUUUUCUAACUAGUCACUGUAUAAGCUAUUUUUCAUUGUUAUAUUGGUCAAUAAGUCACAAUUUGAAAUUUAAGCUAAAAGAGGGAGCCAUUUUAGGACCUUAUAGAACCUAUUCCUUUUCAACAUUUCUGGGAAAUACCUCCACAGUGCCAUAUACAAUAAAUAUAUACUUUGCAUACAUUUAUAAUAAAAUUUAAUAUUUUUU
rnacentral:lncRNA from 1 species